CCCCCACCUCUCCAUCCUCUCUUUGUCCUCAGGCAGCCCCUAGGCUUUUGCGUUAACCAACUGUGCAGUAUAAAGCAAAUCAUCUGAAAGUGCAGGUGAUGUCAUUUUAAGUCUUCACUCCAGGCUGAUGAACAGUGAGCGCAGGAGGAGGACAUGGGGACGCAGAGAAAGCAGCACUGCAGGGAGCCCAGCUGAGCGUCUCGUUUUGUAUUUCUGCGCAGAAAGGAUUGUAAUUUUCCAUAGCACCCUUCCAAAUGAGGACAAGUUAUUUCAUCGAGUGAUGCUUAUGGACAUUGUCACCUUUAGUGACACUGAUCAAAGCCACGCCCAGGAGGACAUCACUUCAGAUAUAUUUGUGUGUGGUAUGAAGGGACCUGAGGGCUUUGUUAGUUUCAGUAUGUGUGGCCAAAAAACAAAGUAAAAACGGGGGUGUGGUAGGAUUUUUUUAUAUACGUCCUUCUCUGGUUACUUUUUUGAAUGGUGUUGUGUUUCUACCUAACUCUGUAAGACUCUAUGUUCAAGGACUUAUCUUCAAGACCAAUCUGCAAGAGGAUACUCUAUCCUCUUCUUCCGAGAGCACAAAACAGAUUUUCCUCUCUGCUCCACCUUGUAAUUGUCACUAACCUCCAGGCGAGGGUUUGAACAAAACAUUCCAAGAAAAGACAGACUUGAGACAGUUGCUUUCUCACGCUCACUUCUCUGUGUUUUACAUAUAGCUCACAGACACGCACAUCCUUUUGCAUUAGGCUUUAUGUUGUUUUUGACUGUAAAUGGAAAAUCUCCAAUUUUUGCAAUUAAUCGGUGAAUGUUUAGUAUGGAAAAACCUGUUUGAAUGAGUUAACGGAUGCCUUUUGUGAUCUUUUGUCUACGUUUGCAUGAGUAAUGUCUAGUUUGUCUUUGAAUCAAGUGUGAUCUGAAUGAAACCAUGCAGGUCAUGUUUGUUUAGUCAUUUCUUUGGUGAAGUCUUUGGACAUUUAAAGCAUGCCUGUGUGAAUAUCUAAAAAUUAUUCUGACCAUAUUAUACAUCACGCAUACGACACAGAAAUGGGUUGCGCCAUUUGUACACAGUUGAUUGAUAUGUGGAGUUUUUCUGGGACGAACAGAGGCCAGACAUCAAUGGACAUGUCUAGUUUGCCUGAGGGGUGUCAGCAGGACUACCAUAGACUUUCAGGCCUGCAUUAUACUUCGUCAUUCUCUGAUGCUGAAGACUGCUGCGAUGACAUCACAAGCACAAGUUCUUCCUCUUCAGACUAUCUAGGAAUGGACUGUUGAUAACCGAUUGCCAUGAGCAUUUUGGAAGUUAAUGACACCUUUGUGCCAAAUAUGUCCAUUAUUUGGUCCAAACUGGAUGAAAGUUGCUCACUAACAAUUUGCACAGUAUGCCCAAUUUAAAGGGAAACUACAAUGUUUUUCAAUAUGUUCUUACCUUAACUUAGACAAAAUAAUACAUCCCUGUCUUUUUUCAAUGUGUGCACUUCAUUUUGUACAGCUCGUUGUGAAUGUGUAGCAUUUAGCCUAGCCCCAUUCAUUCCUUAGGAUCCAAACAGGAAUUAAUUUAGAAGCCAACAAACACUUUCAUAUUUUCUCUAUUUAAAGACUGUUACAUGAGUAGUUACACAAGUAAGUAUGGUGGCACAAAAUAAAACGUGGCAAUUUAAUUUUAUUUUUUUAUCAUCUAUUUUGAUGAUGUUACUGCGCCAGAGGUUGAAGUGCUUCUCCGCCAUACAAUAUAUUUAUCAUUUUUUUAUCCGCUUAAAAAAAUGCUACGGUUUAUUUUGUGCCAUCAUACUUACUCAUGUAAGUACUCAUGUAAAA